rnacentral:rRNA from 1 species
UGAGGAAUAUUGGGCAAUGGGCGCAAGCCUGACCCAGCCACGCCGCGUGAGUGAUGAAGGCCUUCGGUUGUGAAUGCAUCUGUGGGGAGGGAAGAAAAAACUCGGGUUCGAAUAGGGCUCGAGGUUGACGGUACCUCCUUAGCAAGCACCGGCUAACUCUGUGCCAGCAGCCGCGGUAAGACAGAGGGUGCAAACGUUGCUCGGAAUCACUGGGCGUAAAGGGCGCGUAGGCGGAUCGGAAGUCGGGUGUGAAAUCCUGGGCUCAACCUAGGAACUGCAUUCGAAACUCCGGUCUAGAGUGACGGAGAGGAAAGCGGAAUU